UCGCACCUACCGAUUGAAUGGUCCGGUGAAGCCUCGGGAUUGUGGCAAGUACCUUUAUUGGUACUGGUUGCAAGAACUUGUCUAAACCUUAUCAUUUAGAGGAAGUAA
rnacentral:rRNA from 1 species